AUUGAACGCUGGCGGCGUGCUUAACACAUGCAAGUCGAUCGGUAACAGGUGUAGCAAUACAUGCUGACGAGAGGCGGACGGGUGAGGAACGCUUGGGAAUCUGCCUAUCAGCGGGGGACAACCCGGGGAAACCCGGGCUAAUACCGCAUACGCUCUACGGAGGAAAGCCGGGGACCGCAAGGCCUGGCACUGAUAGAUGAGCCCAAGUCGGAUUAGCUAGUUGGCGGGGUAACAGCCCACCAAGGCGACGAUCCGUAGCUGGUCUGAGAGGACGAUCAGCCACACCGGAACUGAGACACGGUCCGGACUCCUACGGGAGGCAGCAGUGGGGAAUAUUGGACAAUGGGCGAAAGCCUGAUCCAGCGACGCCGCGUGGGUGAAGAAGGCCUGCGGGUUGUAAAGCCCUUUCGGUAGGGACGAAAGCUCUCGACCUAACACGUCAGGAGGUUGACUUAACCUACAAAAGAAGCACCGGCUAACUCUGUGCCAGCAGCCGCAGUAAAAC
rnacentral:rRNA from 1 species